UGCAAGUCGAGCGGCAGCGCGGGGGCAACUCUGGCGGCGAGCGGCGAACGGGUGAGUAAUGCAUCGGAACGUGUCCCGGAGUGGGGGAUAACCCGGCGAAAGCCGGACUAAUACCGCAUAUGCUCUGAGGAGGAAAGUGGGGGACCUGAGAGGGCCUCAUGCUUUGGGAGCGGCCGAUGUCCGAUUAGCUAGUUGGUGGGGUAAAGGCUUACCAAGGCGACGAUCGGUAGCUGGUCUGAGAGGAUGAUCAGCCACACUGGGACUGAGACACGGCCCAGACUCCUACGGGAGGCAGCAGUGGGGAAUUUUGGACAAUGGGGGCAACCCUGAUCCAGCCAUGCCGCGUGCGGGAAGAAGGCCUUCGGGUUGUAAACCGCUUUUAGCUGGGAAGAAAAGACUCGGGCUAACACUCCGGGGGCUCGACGGUACCGGCGGAAUAAGCACCGGCUAACUACGUGCCAGCAGCCGCGGUAAUACGUAGGGUGCGAGCGUUAAUCGGAAUUACUGGGCGUAAAGCGUGCGCAGGCGGUUCGUUAAGUUUGUCGUGAAAGCCCCGGGCUCAACCUGGGAGUGGCGAUGAAAACUGGCGAGCUGGAGUGUGGCAGAGGGGGGUGGAAUUCCAGGUGUAGCAGUGAAAUGCGUAGAGAUCUGGAGGAACACCGAUGGCGAAGGCAGCCCCCUGGGCUGACACUGACGCUCA
rnacentral:rRNA from 1 species